UCGAGAAUUUUUCACAAUGGGGGAAACCCUGAUGGAGCGACGCCGCGUGGGGGAUGAAUGGCUUCGGCCCGUAAACCCCUGUCAUUUGCGAACAAAUUGGUUCAAUUAAUAACUGAACCAUUGAUAGUAGCGAAAGAGGAAGGGACGGCUAACUCUGUGCCAGCAGCCGCGGUAAUACAGAGGUCCCAAGCGUUGUUCGGAUUCACUGGGCGUAAAGGGUGCGUAGGCGGUCGGGUAAGUCUGAUGUGAAAUCUCACAGCUUAACUGUGAAACUGCAUUGGAUACUAUUCGGCUAGAGAGUUGGAGGGGGGACUGGAAUUCUCGGUGUAGCAGUGAAAUGCGUAGAUAUCGAGAGGAACACCAGUGGCGAAGGCGAGUCCCUGGACAACUUCUGACGCUGAGGCACGAAAGCUAGGGGAGCAAACAG
rnacentral:rRNA from 1 species